UACGUAGGGUGCAAGCGUUGUCCGGAAUUAUUGGGCGUAAAGAGCUCGUAGGCGGUCUGUCGCGUCGGCUGUGAAAUCCCGGAGCUCAACUCCGGGUCUGCAGUCGAUACGGGCAGACUGGAGGCAUGCAGGGGAGAACGGAAUUCCUGGUGUAGCGGUGAAAUGCGCAGAUAUCAGGAGGAACACCGGUGGCGAAGGCGGUUCUCUGGGCAUGUCCUGACGCUGAGGAGCGAAAGUGUGGGGGAGCGAACAGG
rnacentral:rRNA from 1 species